rnacentral:lncRNA from 1 species
GAAUGAAAGUUUAAAUUUCUACUCUUACACGAAAAACAAAAAUGGGGAUAUUGGAAAAUAGAAAUAGGGAUAUUUGGAAAACGGCUUCUGAAAUAACUUAAGAAAACCUAGCUUUUAUAAAAAUGGUGAUUAAAGGCAGAAGUUGUAGAAUGCUCAGAAGAUGUAGAAAACAAACCAAAUCCAAAGCAAUAAUUUUGCCAGUCAUGCAGUGAAAGAAGUUCAAGUGCUUAUAUUUCUGUUCCACCAUUAGCUGUAUUUAAUUAUAAGAACUGAACAGAGCUGUGUCUACUUUUCACAACAAAAAUCACAUCAUUAAAGAUUUAUUUAUUGAAUAUAUUUGCACACAAAUACAGGAGCUCAAUAAAACGUUGAUAAGCAGCAAACAAGAUAUCUGCCCAGGGACUUCCUUCCCAGCAGCCUGCAAAGCUCCAGCACCACAGCAAGCACCCACUCCCAAAACAACAUUUUAAACUGCUACACGUCAAAAAGCUGAAAAAUACAUAAUUACAUUAUCAGGAUCACGGACUCACUACCUUUGAUUUUUCACUGCUUGAAAGAAGGCUCAAAGUCCACAGGAGCUGUGCCUACCUUUGGAGCACGGAAGGAUUCAUGACCCAGGUAAAGAGUUCCAGACUUCACUGAAAACCAGAGGUGGGCACAUGAAGUCAGGAAUGCUGCCCAGGCACUAAUAAACUCUUCCAGACACUAGAAUCAACAUUUUUGUUCGGAUUUUAUCCCAAGCUUGGGAGAGGCACAGAAGAAAAAGGGCGAGUUUAUUUCUGCCCAGAAAACGCUGCCGUGUUUAUCAGGAGCUUCCUUCCAUGGGAGCCAGAGGCACAGGCAGCGCUGACACACCGAGCGGUGAGGAAGAGGAAGGGCGGGUGGCCUGGCAGCACCCGACACCUCCUUUAUAUGGCCAGUGCAGGCCCGCUGCCGUGCCUGCAGCUUGGCAUCCUGCUCGGAAAGGCUGAGCCAGCCCGGCCGCUCCUGCGCGCUGCCCGGGGAGCAAAGGCUCCACACCUCGGGUGCGUGUGACACGGCAAGCUCGGCGUGCUCCCACAGCAGGGCACUCACAUCUAAAGGCAACGCUUAUCUCCUCGAGCGAGCGCCGGUACCGUCACUGCAGUGCAGAUAGCGCCACUGCAGCGCCACGGCCCCAGCAGCCUCGGAGCACAGCCGGGGCUCCGGCCGGCCGCGG